rnacentral:rRNA from 1 species
UACGUAGGGUGCGAGCGUUAAUCGGAAUUACUGGGCGUAAAGCGUGCGCAGGCGGCUAUGCAAGACAGAUGUGAAAUCCCCGGGCUCAACCUGGGAACUGCAUUUGUGACUGCAAGGCUAGAGUACGGCAGAGGGGGAUGGAAUUCCGCGUGUAGCAGUGAAAUGCGUAGAUAUGCGGAGGAACACCAAUGGCGAAGGCAAUCCCCUGGGCCUGUACUGACGCUCAUGCACGAAAGCGUGGGGAGCAAACAGG